CAGGGAAUCGUACGCAAUGGACGAAAGUCUGACGUCGCAAUGCCGCGUGGGGGAUGAAGGCCUUCGGGUCGUAAACUCCUUUUACAGUAAUAGAGAUGUUAUUGAGAAUAAGCACCUGCUAACUCUGUGCCAGCAGCCGCGGUAAUACAGAGGGUGCAAGCGUUAUCCGGAUUUAUUGGGCGUAAAGCGUUUCGUAGGUUUCUAGGUAAGUUAUUUUUCAAAGACCACGGCUCAACCGGGGGAAGGGAAGUAAUACUAUCUGGAUUGAAAUAUGGUGGGGCUUCUGGAACUGAUGGUGUAGUAGUGAAAUACGUUGAUAUCAUCAGGAACUCCGAGGGCGAAGGCAGGAAGCUAACCAUUUUUGACACUGAGGAACGACAGCUAGGGGAGCGAAAGGGA
rnacentral:rRNA from 1 species